GGUUCGAUGGUGUAGUUGGUUAUCACGUCUGUCUCACAUUGGGUGCACAGGAGGUCUCCGGUUCGAGCCCGGAUCGAACCA
rnacentral:tRNA from 1 species